rnacentral:rRNA from 1 species
UACGUAGGGUGCAAGCGUUGUCCGGAAUUAUUGGGCGUAAAGAGCUCGUAGGCGGUUUGUCGCGUCUGCUGUGAAAACUCGGGGCUUAACUCCGGGCCUGCAGUGGGUACAGGCAGACUAGAGUGCGGUAGGGGAGACUGGAAUUCCUGGUGUAGCGGUGAAAUGCGCAGAUAUCAGGAGGAACACCGGUGGCGAAGGCGGGUCUCUGGGCCGUAACUGACGCUGAGGAGCGAAAGCGUGGGGAGCGAACAGG